UGCCAAGAGCUGUAGCUUAGUUGGUAGAGCAUCUGCUUUGCAUGCAGAAUGUCCCAUGAUGGAUCCCUGAGUAGGGCAC